rnacentral:lncRNA from 1 species
AUGGCUGGCUGUGGAUGAUGGCUAUGAGAACAGAAAGACCAGCCAGAGUGGAUGAAGGUGAAUUUGACCAUAAGGAAGUCCAAUAGGAAAUAAGGUGACAUCAAAGAUGGACACAUGGGGGGGCGCCCAGGUGGCUCCGUCAGUUAAGCGUCUGACUUUGGCUCAGAUCAUGAUCUCACGGCUUGUAAGUUCGAGCCCCGCAUGAGGCUCUGUGCUGACAGCUCGGAUUCUGUGGCACCUGUCUCUCUGCCCCCUCCCCUGCUGUCACUCUGUCUCUCUCCCUCCCAAAAAUAAACAUGAAAAUUUUUAUUUUUUUUUAUUUUUUUUUAAACGUUUAUUUAUUUUUGAGACAGAGAGAGACAGAGCAUGAACGGGGGAGGGGCAGAGAGAGAGGGAGACACAGAAUCAGAAGCAGGCUCCAGGCUCUGAGCCGUCAGCCCAGAGCCCAACGCGGGGCUCGAACUCAUGGACCGUGAGAUCGUGACCUGAGCCCAAGUCAGAUGCUCAACCGACUGAGCCACCCAGGCGCCCCGAAAAUUAAAAAAAAAUGGACACAUGGGGGUGCCUGAGUGGCUCAGGUGGUUGGGCAUUCGCCUUUGGCUCAGGUCAUGAUCUUGCGAUUUGUGUGUUCGAGCCCCACAUUGGGCUUUCGGCUGGCAGCACAGAGCCUGCUUCAGAUCUUCUGUCCCCCCCCUCUCUGUCCCUCCUUCAUUCAUUCUCUCUCUCUCUCUCUCUCAAAAAAAAAAAAAAGAUGGACACAUGGCAAGGCAUGAGGAAACAAGAUAGGAGCCAGGUGACAGUGAACUGGAGAAUAUUCCCGCGUCCAUAGCUUUACUCCUGUGUAAAUGAAAAGCCUCCUCUCUGGGCUACUAACCGGACCACAAGGACUGCAGUAAUCUUUUACUGAUGCCUAUUAGAAGCAGGUACUUUAUACAGCUCCCAUUUUCUUCCCACAGUGUCCUAAGUGGGCUUUUAGGGGUUCCAUGAAAAACGCUUCUCUCUUUCUCUUCCGAAAUGAGGACCCCAUGGAAAGAAGAUCCAGGAGACUGGCGAAUGGAGACCAGCGUGAGCUUUUUAUCGAUAAACUGGGCAGCAUGGCCUCCUAUCUGUGGUCAGAGGUUUUACUGCGCUCCACUUUCCCGCCGUGGACCUGGGACAGCCCACCAGGGAAAACACAAACGAGUCAUCUCUCAAGCAGAACCUGCUUCCUGGGUCACAAUUUCUACCUCUGGAUCGGCAGCAUGAUCCCCCUGUCCCCCCAAGUUGUCUGCACGAGGCUUUAGAAGAUGUCCUCUCCAGCUGUCGCACGCAAAGGACUCACCUGGGUAUCUCGUGAAAAUGUAGAUUCUGACGGAGUAGACCUUGGGACUGGGGCCUUGAGAGUCUGCACCAGCCCUGAGUGAUGUCACUGUUGGUUGACCUAGCACGUUUGGAAUAGCAAGAUUUACUGGCUUUUGCCUCCAGAAGUUUUCCCACUCGGUUUUGCAUAUGCGGAUGUAGGCAGACAAACUCGAGAACGGAGGCAGGUCAGUGUCUGUAUAGAGCUUUGACUCUUACUUCCGUAAACCGUUCCUGCAGGGCUGCUCUCCCCCGGACUUUGCUCCUUCUUGUCCAUGUCCCUUUCCCUAGCUGGACAACCAGGAAGCGAUGUGUCGAUGCUUGUGUGUGCCACACCUGUGCCUCAGGUUGUCUUCCACUGUCAUACAACGUAAUUUCUUUUCAUUUUCUUUGAUGUCCCUUUUUCACUGGGAACCUGAUUCAGGAUACCGUGGAUGGUAGCUAAUGGUAACAGCAGGCCUCACAUGUGCACAAAGCACCUUAAUACCCACAAGACAGUAGGGGUAGAGGCUAUGGGCCAGGGCUCCAGAGUCUGCCCACCUACAUUCAAAUCCUGCCUCUGCUACUUUCUAGCUGGUCGGCCUUGGGCAAGUUACUUAACCUCUCUGUGCUUCCAUUUCAUCAUUUGCACAAUGUGGCUAACGAUGCUUCGUGAGUCGUUGAGAAGAUCAAAUGAGAUAAUGUGUGUGAGGCACUCAGAAGGGACCUGACAUAUAGGGGGCCCUCGAUCACAAUCGGUGAUGUUAUAAUUCCUCAAUCCCAUGAGGAAGCCGAGGGAACCCGAGGCUCAAUGAGGAGAAGUGAGUCGCACUCAGGAUUCCACAUCAAGAAUGGUGGCACAGUUGGGACCAGAUCUGACUCCAACUCCAGUGCUCACUGCGCCCCCACCAUACUUCCAAAUGCCAAGUUUUAUUGCCCUAAGAUUUUAGCACAGAGUGUGGCUGCUUUCCCAGCGUUCGACUGAUCUUUUGUUUCCUUUCCUUCUAAUGGAGCAUUUCCAGCUGGGGUGAUUCAUGGAUCUGGGACCGCAUGGCUCCCAUUAACUUCGAGGAAAGUCAUAAGGCAAAACCCACAUCAGUCAAGCUUCCAAAUUAUUCAUCCAUCUUUACAGGUGACACGUGGAUUAAGACGAACAGGGAGUGAAGUGGGUAUCGUACAAUAACUAUUUAGAUUUAUGAAAAUUGCCUAAGAGCUUAUGCCAAGUCCCCACACUGAACUUUGUUUUGUUUUCACAAGGUUGAACUUUAGGGAUGAGGGAGAGGAUGUCACAAGAGAAUGGCCUUGAAGCUUGAAGUCCGAGGGGCUGGGACUCCCAGCUUCACUACUAGUUAGACUUGUGAUUUUUGAGAAAGGCUUUUAACCUCUUAGAAUCUGUUUUCUCGUUCUGUUAUUCAUCCUUACGAUAAACCAAGGAGUUAGUUACUGUCCCCAUCGUACAGAUGUUGAAACUGAGGUACUGAGAAGUUAAGUGACUUGAUGGUGACCAAAAAAUAAAGCAGCCUUCGAACCCCCUAUAUUUGAGUCC